GCCAACGUAGCUUAAUGGCAGAGCAACGGUUUUGUAAACCGUAGGUUGUGGGUUCGAUUCCCACCGUUGGCUCCA
rnacentral:tRNA from 1 species